rnacentral:tRNA from 1 species
GCCCAGGUAGCUCAGUGGUAGAGCAAUUCCAUGGUAAGGAAUAGGCCGUCGGUUCAAAUCCGAUCCUGGGCU